rnacentral:rRNA from 1 species
UACGUAGGGGGCGAGCGUUGUCCGGAGUUACUGGGCGUAAAGCGCACGCAGGCGGUCUGCUAAGUUUGGAGUGACAGUUGGUGGCUUAACUGCCAAAGUGCUUCGAAAACUGACAGACUUGAGGGCUUCAGGAGGACACGGAAUUCCGGGUGGAGUGGUGAAAUGCGUAGAGAUCGGAGGAACACCAAAGGCGAAGGCAGUGGUCCUGGGGAGGUAC